GCCUAACACAUGCAAGUCGAGCGGUAGAGAGAAGCUUGCUUCUCUUGAGAGCGGCGGACGGGUGAGUAAUGCCUAGGAAUCUGCCUGGUAGUGGGGGAUAACGUUCGGAAACGGACGCUAAUACCGCAUACGUCCUACGGGAGAAAGCAGGGGACCUUCGGGCCUUGCGCUAUCAGAUGAGCCUAGGUCGGAUUAGCUAGUUGGUGAGGUAAUGGCUCACCAAGGCGACGAUCCGUAACUGGUCUGAGAGGAUGAUCAGUCACACUGGAACUGAGACACGGUCCAGACUCCUACGGGAGGCAGCAGUGGGGAAUAUUGGACAAUGGGCGAAAGCCUGAUCCAGCCAUGCCGCGUGUGUGAAGAAGGUCUUCGGAUUGUAAAGCACUUUAAGUUGGGAGGAAGGGUUGUAGAUUAAUACUCUGCAAUUUUGACGUUACCGACAGAAUAAGCACCGGCUAACUCUGUGCCAGCAGCCGCGGUAAUACAGAGGGUGCAAGCGUUAAUCGGAAUUACUGGGCGUAAAGCGCGCGUAGGUGGUUUGUUAAGUUGGAUGUGAAAUCCCCGGGCUCAACCUGGGAACUGCAUUCAAAACUGACUGACUAGAGUAUGGUAGAGGGUGGUGGAAUUUCCUGUGUAGCGGUGAAAUGCGUAGAUAUAGGAAGGAACACCAGUGGCGAAGGCGACCACCUGGACUAAUACUGACACUGAGGUGCGAAAGCGUGG
rnacentral:rRNA from 1 species